rnacentral:rRNA from 1 species
UACGUAGGGUGCAAGCGUUGUCCGGAAUUAUUGGGCGUAAAGAGCUUGUAGGCGGUUUGUCGCGUCUGCUGUGAAAACUGGGGGCUCAACCCCCAGCCUGCAGUGGGUACGGGCAGACUAGAGUGCGGUAGGGGAGAUUGGAACUCCUGGUGUAGCGGUGGAAUGCGCAGAUAUCAGGAAGAACACCCGUGGCGAAGGCGGCUCUCUGGGACGGUACUGACGCUGAGACGCGAAAGCGUGGGGAGCGAACAGG